rnacentral:rRNA from 1 species
CUCGGCCUCAGAUCAGACAAGGCUACCCGCUGAAUUUAAGCAUAUUAAUAAGCGGAGGAAAAGAAACUAACAAGGAUUCCCCCAGUAACGGCGAGUGAAGCGGGAACAGCUCAAAUUUAAAAUCUCCGUUGCUUGCAACGGCGAAUUGUAGUUUCGAGAAGCGCUUUCUAGGUGGACCGCCUGCGCCUAAGUUGCUUGGAACAGCACGUCAUAGAGGGUGACAACCCCGUCUGUGGCGUAGGCGGCCGCUCACGAUGUGCUUUCGAAGAGUCGGGUUGUUUGGGAAUGCAGCCCAAAAUGGGUGGUAAACUCCAUCUAAAGCUAAAUAUUGGCACGAGACCGAUAGCGAACAAGUACCGUGAGGGAAAGAUGAAAAGGACUUUGGAAAGAGAGUUAAAAAGUACGUGAAACCGUUAAAAGGGAAACGAAUGGAGCUAGCAAUGCACCCAGUGAGAUUCAGCCGGUUGGUGGCUUGGGCGCUCCGUUUGCAGAUCUGAAUUGACUGCGGCGGUGUGGUUCGAGCUCCCUGCCGUCGCACUUCUCGCGGGCGCGCGUCAACAUGGGUUGGGACCGGGUCUAAAAGGCACCGGCAAGGUAGGUCCGUACCUCCGGGUACGUACUGUUCUAGGCCGGCGUUCUCGCGGCCCGGGCCCGACCGAGGCGAUGCAGCACAUGCCUCUUGUGGCUGGGGUCCCGUUCUUCCGGUUGGUUGUCGACUGUGGUGGACUGCGUGCAGUGCACCGCGACUGCUGCCGGUCGCUGGGGCGGUGACUUCGCAUGAUGUGCUUAGGAUGUUGGCGGUCAUAUGGCUUCAUCCGACCCGUCUUGAAACACGGACCAAGGAGUCUACCAUAUGCGCGAGUCUUUGGGUGAUUGAAACCCGCGGGCACAAUGAAAGUGAAGGCGGCUCCGGCCUGCCGAGGUGAGAACCUCCCCUCUCGGGGUGGCGCAUCAUCGACCGACCUAUUCUACUCUUAGGAAGGUUUGAGUAAGAGCGCAUUUGUUGGGACCCGAAAGAUGGUGAACUAUGCCUGAAUAGGGUGAAGCCAGAGGAAACUCUGGUGGAGGCUCGUAGCGAUUCUGACGUGCAAAUCGAUCGUCAAAUUUGGGUAUAGGGGCGAAAGACUAAUCGAACUGUCUAGUAGCUGGUUCCCUCCGAAGUUUCCCUCAGGAUAGCAGGAGCUCUUUGCAGUUUUAUCAGGUAAAGC